GAAUAGCCCUGAUAGAGGCGAUAGCUCUCGUUGAGUUUUUUUCGAAACGAGACUAAAGCCGAUAGCAGGAAUUGCG
rnacentral:sRNA from 26 species